rnacentral:rRNA from 1 species
GAUCCUGGCUCAGGACGAACGCUGGCGGCGCGCCUAACACAUGCAAGUCGAACGAGCGAGAGAGAGCUUGCUUUCUCGAGCGAGUGGCGAACGGGUGAGUAACGCGUGAGGAACCUGCCUCAAAGAGGGGGACAACAGUUGGAAACGACUGCUAAUACCGCAUAAGCCCACGACCCGGCAUCGGGAAGAGGGAAAAAGGAGCAAUCCGCUUUGAGAUGGGCCUCGCGUCCGAUUAGCUGGUUGG